UUCUCCUGAUCGGGGAGGGGAUAAGAGCAGAUCAAAAAACUAAGUGUGGCGGUGAAUGAUUCAGGCCACACUCAUUGCUCUGUUUCUGAAUGUCGAUGGUCUGACAAACCUGAACCCUAUAUCAUGAUUCCUACUGGACCAACUAGAACUGCUGUCAAAUACCUAAUAGAUACAGGUGCACAAAUUACAGUGCUAAAUGUACAACUAGCAAAACAUCUGAAAAUAUUGCCAUCUCGGAGAAAGGUAAACAUAACAGGUGUUACAGGACAACCUGAAACAUGCUAUUUAGCCAAAGCACAGCUAUGGCUACCUGGGGAGAAGAGAAGCACCCUGGUAGAGUUAGCAUUGGCUUCGUGCAAACAUAAUAUCCUUGGGUUUGAUGUUCUAGCAGGUAGAAGAUGGCAUCUUCCUGACGGAACAUUAUGGAGCUUUGGUGCUUAUGAGAUGAGGAACAAGAGGCAAAGCAGUUCCUAGUCUUUCAUCCACAGUGACAGCAAUCCAAGCGGCUUCUCACACCUGGAUGGCGACUCUAGACGUGAAGGACAUGUUCUUCAUGGUGCCGUUGAGAGAAGAGGACAAACCGCAGUUUGCUUUUACCUGGCAAGCCUUUCUGGUUUUUUCCCCGGACUUAACAACAACAAACUGCUCACCGAUCUAGUCUCGCCUCGGGCGGACCCCGAGUCGCAGAGACUACAAUCUGCAUGCCUGGACCCUCAUCGGGAGAAAGAGACUCCUUAUCAAGCUACAGACUGUGAGUAGCUGACUGACGAACUAUUAAUUCGAACCAAAGA